AAUAUUGCACAAUGGAGGGAACUCUGAUGCAGCAACGCCGCGUGAGUGAAGAAGGUUUUCGGAUCGUAAAACUCUGUCAUUGGGGAAGAAUAAAUGACUGUACCCAAUGAGGAAGCCCCGGCUAACUACGUGCCAGCAGCCGCGGUAAUACGUAGGGGGCGAGCGUUGUCCGGAAUUAGUGGGCGUAAAGGGUACGUAGGCGGAUAUAUAAGGCAGGUGUGAAAUACCAGUGCUUAACACUGGAAUUGCAUUUGAAACUGUGUAGCUUGAGUGCAGGAGAGGAAAGUGGAAUUACUAGUGUAGCGGUGAAAUGCGUAGAGAUUAGGAGGAACACCAGUGGCGAAGGCGACUUACUGGACUGUAACUGACGCUGAGUCACGAAAGCGUGGGUAGCAAAC
rnacentral:rRNA from 1 species